UCCUCCCUCCCGAACUCGCGCCUCCCCCGCGCCCAGCUCCUCCCGCCUCGCCGCCUCCUCCUCUCCCCUCCCGCGCGCCUCUCUCCUCCCACCCACAUCACCGCCGCCGCCACCCACCGCCUCGAACCGCGCCGUCGGCGGCCAGAUCCGCCGCAACAGAGCCCCCACACCCUCCCCAACUAUGAUGAGAAGCAGCGGAGGGAGGACGGGGAGCACGACAGCAGGCGGCGGAGGGGAGCAGCAGCAGCAGGCCUCGCCGGGGCGCCCCUCGCCUCUUUGUCGCCCGCAGGGGGCGCCUGGUUCAGGGCCGCCCUCGCCUGCUGCAGCUACGUCCUGCUGGCGCUCCUCGCCCUCGCGCUCCUCCUCCUUCUCUCCGUUGGGUACCUCGGCCAGAAAAGGAGGGCACCAUUCACCAUGGAGGACUGCCGCGUCCAGUCUCCCUCACUCCCUCACUUCCUCCCUCCCGCCUCAAUACCUUAGCACCCAUGACCAUGGUGACUCCACUGGAGGUGCAGCAAGCAGGUGCUGCUGUGUGAAGGACAGGAGAAGAGGGUAGAGGAGAGGACUGCUACUGUCUCACCUGCUUCUCCGUCUUCUUCUUCUACUAUGUCCUAUGUUGGUCAGACCAGGAGGCGUUGCCAUCGAUUAUAGGGUGUCGGACCAACGUCCUCGUGUUCGUGCAUCUUCGGGAAGAAAUGACCCGAGGUGAGUCGCCUCUGGUCCGCCGCACGAAGAGAGCGGGGGGCUAGAUCGCAAGGGCAGAGUUGCAGUCCUCCAGGGCCGCGGGAAGAAGAAGAUGGUACUCAUAUACAAGCCUCCCUCUCGUGGUGAACACUCUUCCCUGGAAUUGAUGGAAGAUCUGCCUUGCAGCCUUAGAGGAUCCAUGCAUCGUGUGAUGUAUGGCCUACAGGCUACCAAUGCAACUGAUGUAGUCCUGCACAACACAAAUAAUUUAGUGGUGCUUGGAUCUAGGAGUGAACUGGGUCAGGGUUCUGUACUAUAGGAGGAAACAAGAUGGGGCAUGUGUUUUUCAAGGAUAAAUAUUGGAACUGAUGCCUCGCGUUGAUCUCUCUGAUCUGGUCGGCCUGGCGCGGGAACUGAGCCGCCGUCGAUGGAUUUAUCGCAGCUUGGCUACCUGUUGCUUUGGAUCCGGAUACCCAGCAUGUGUUUAGGAUCCCACACAGGGCGGUUCUUGACAUGCUUCGAGCACACCUUGGGCUAUCACCAGCUCACAUGCAUGAGGGAGGGUCGAUUUGAUUGACUAAAUCUGUAGCCAGCCAGAACCAAGGUUCAGGUCAUUCUUGUGAGAGAACCACUCGAGGGUAUGUUGUCGCGGUUGCCGAACACCAUGGACCACGGAUGCCCCUGCAAAGAAGAAGGGGGGACCUAGCGCCAAGAAGGUUGAAUACGACCGCGGGGGGGAUACGACUGCACCCUGCAGGGGUGCGGGGUGCGGCAAGCCGCACUUUCCAUCUAGUAGGAGAAAAAGGAGAACAUUGCGUUUGAACCCAGGACCUCCUGAUGGGUUGACACUGGGGUCAACCAGUUGAGCUAGGAUGCACGUGUGAUAUUGGAUGGGUUCGACCCUAUAUGACACAUCCUCUUGAACUGAUCUGAACUGAAGAAGCACGAACAGAUAUGGCUUCUCUGCUCGCUGUCUCAUACUGUAUUACAGUUGCUUCAUGCAAUUCCUUGCAGCCUUAUGUUUUAUGCUCUUGGUCCUUGCAGGAUACCCAGCAUGUGUUUAGGAUCCCACACAGGGCGGAUCUUGACAUGCUUCGAGCACACCUUGGGCUAUCACCAGCUCACAUGCAUGAGGGAGGGUCGAUUUGAUUGACUAAAUCUGUAGCCAGCCAGAACCAAGGUUCAGGUCAUUCUUGUACGAACAUCUACGCUGCCAUCCCAGUAAAAUCAAUCAAGCAGCUUGCUUAGCUUUGCACUUCUACAUACGUGUGUUUCUCUCGGGUGGAUCCAAGCUAACUAUUUCAAAUAAAACAACUAUGCGGUUGAGCUCGGCAAUCACCCACUCAAUGAGAAGCUGCACACUGAAUUCAAAGGGAAUUGGACUGUUUGUUUGACCUGAACUUAAAGUUGACACAAUUGCAGGUGAGAGAACCACUCGAGGGUAUGUUGUCGCGGUUGCCGAACACCAUGGACCACGGAUGCCCCUGCAAAGAAGAAGGGGGGACCUAGCGCCAAGAAGUAAUACAAAUUUGAGUCAUCAUGGGGAGAAGAUUGAUUACGAGGAUAUCAUGGAAGAUUUCACUUCAAAGAAUACUAAAAGAAUGAUGUUCAAAUAAAUAUUAUGCAUCGGAAGUUGAAUAGUGAGCUAGAGCCCCACUUUUUAAUUUCGCACAGGGCCCGGGUUUUGCCGGCCCGGCCCUGCUCAGGCAUGAGCAGCAGCUCGACUUGGUGUGGUGAGGUACGGCGAGCAAGAAGCUGAGCAGGCCCUGCUGCUUGCGCGCGAGCUACAGGAGGCAAUGCGUGUGUGGGAAACCGGCAAGGGCGCGAGCAUGGCGCGGUGUCCGUGGACGCAGCUAUGGACAGAGAGCGAGGUGCUCUGUUUCAUGCGUAUGGCGAGGGUACAGCGACAGGUCUCUGACAUGAACAUAUCGAGGCUGAACGGAAGCAAACGACGUCGAGGGAGAGCCAGGAGGGGAGGCUGCUCAUCGGGAUCCCGUAGGACGAGACGACGAGGUCGGAAGCGCGACGGCAGGGGCGCGAGGAGGCGCUGAUCAUGGCGGCGUUCGGCUCCGUGAAUAAGAUGAAGCAGAGGACGUAGAUGACGACCGGGAAGAAGUUGGACUUGGCGAUCCGGGGCUCGGAGAGGUGUGGGAAGGUGUUGCCGAA